rnacentral:rRNA from 1 species
CAUGAUCGUAAGGACAUGUGGAGCGCUUAGAAGUGAGAAUGCCGGUGUGAGUAGCGAAAGACGGGUGAGAAUCCCGUCCACCGAUUGACUAAGGUUUCCAGAGGAAGGCUCGUCCGCUCUGGGUUAGUCGGGUCCUAAGCUGAGGCCGACAGGCGUAGGCGAUGGAUAACAGGUUGAUAUUCCUGUACCACCUAUAAUCGUUUUAAUCGAUGGGGGGACGCAGUAGGAUAGGCGAAGCGUGCGAUUGGAUUGCACGUCUAAGCAGUAAGGCUGAGUAUUAGGCAAAUCCGGUACUCGUUAAGGCUGAGCUGUGAUGGGGAGAAGACAUUGAGUCUUCGAGUCGUUGAUUUCACACUGCCGAGAAAAGCCUCUAGAUAGAAAAUAGGUGCCCGUACCGCAAACCGACACAGGUAGUCAAGAUGAGAAUUCUAAGGUGAGCGAGCGAACUCUCGUUAAGGAACUCGGCAAAAUGACCCCGUAACUUCGGGAGAAGGGGUGCUCUUUAGGGUUAACGCCCAGAAGAGCCGCAGUGAAUAGGCCCAAGCGACUGUUUAUCAAAAACACAGGUCUCUGCUAAACCGUAAGGUGAUGUAUAGGGGCUGACGCCUGCCCGGUGCUGGAAGGUUAAGAGGAGUGGUUAGCUUCUGCGAAGCUACGAAUCGAAGCCCCAGUAAACGGCGGCCGUAACUAUAACGGUCCUAAGGUAGCGAAAUUCCUUGUCGGGUAAGUUCCGACCCGCACGAAAGGCGUAACGAUUUGGGCACUGUCUCAACGAGAGACUCGGUGAAAUCAUAGUACCUGUGAAGAUGCAGGUUACCCGCGACAGGACGGAAAGACCCCGUGGAGCUUUACUGUAGCCUGAUAUUGAAAUUCGGCACAGCUUGUACAGGAUAGGUAGGAGCCUUUGAAACGUGAGCGCUAGCUUACGUGGAGGCGCUGGUGGGAUACUACCCUAGCUGUGUUGGCUUUCUAACCCGCACCACUUAUCGUGGUGGGAGACAGUGUCAGGCGGGCAGUUUGACUGGGGCGGUCGCCUCCUAAAAGGUAACGGAGGCGCUCAAAGGUUCCCUCAGAAUGGUUGGAAAUCAUUCAUAGAGUGUAAAGGCAUAAGGGAGCUUGACUGCGAGACCUACAAGUCGAGCAGGGUCGAAAGACGGACUUAGUGAUCCGGUGGUUCCGCAUGGAAGGGCCAUCGCUCAACGGAUAAAAGCUACCCCGGGGAUAACAGGCUUAUCUCCCCCAAGAGUUCACAUCGACGGGGAGGUUUGGCACCUCGAUGUCGGCUCAUCGCAUCCUGGGGCUGUAGUCGGUCCCAAGGGUUGGGCUGUUCGCCCAUUAAAGCGGUACGCGAGCUGGGUUCAGAACGUCGUGAGACAGUUCGGUCCCUAUCCGUCGUGGGCGUAGGAAAUUUGAGAGGAGCUGUCCUUAGUACGAGAGGACCGGGAUGGACAUACCUCUGGUGUACCAGUUGUCGUGCCAACGGCAUAGCUGGGUAGCUAUGUGUGGACGGGAUAAGUGCUGAAAGCAUCUAAGCAUGAAGCCCCCCUCAAGAUGAGAUUUCCCAACUUCGGUUAUAAGAUCCCUCAAAGAUGAUGAGGUUAAUAGGUUCGAGGUGGAAGCAUGGUGACAUGUGGAGCUGACGAAUACUAAUCGAUCGAAGACUUAAUCAA